AGUUUUAUAUUCUAUAAUUAUAAGAAGUUAAGUUGCAAACUUAAAAUAAAUAAAUUUAAAUUUUAUUAAGACUU
rnacentral:tRNA from 1 species